CAUUGUUUGACCACGCCUAUUCUUUAGCAAAAUUCAAGUCCCCUUCCAUAAUUUUAAACUCACCUUAUGAAUGUGGCUUCAAUCUCUGGACAAGAAGGAGGGUGUGUCUGAGAGGGCAUUGCCAGAGGAGAUUCACAUCUGAGUCAGUGCACUGGGAGCAGCAGACCCACCCUCAAUCUGGGGGGGCACCAUCCAAUCGGCUGCCAGCCCAGCUAGGAAAAGUAGGCCAAAGAAAACGGAAUGAGUCAACUUGCUGAGUCGUCCAGGCCUUCAUCUUUCUUCUGUGCUGGAUGCUUCCCUGCUCUUGAACAUCAAGACUUCAGGUUUUGGGACUCAGACUGAGCCACUGCUGGCUUCCUUGCUCCUCAGCUUGCAGAUGCCUAUUGUGGGACUUCACCUUACAGUCAUACCCGAUGUGAAGCCUGACUGAGCAGAGUGGAGACCAGCAGCUGCACGUCAAGUGGCCUUCCCAGGACUUGACUCCAUAUGCAUGUUCUCGUCCAUGGGCUCAUACCCAGUCCAAAGGACUUUACCCCAGCUCCAUCUUUGCCCAGACACACUUGAGGCUGCAGGGUUUUGCUUCCCAAGGCCCUCACCAGAAUCAGAUGCUGGCACCAUGCUUCCUGUACAGCUUAUAAAACCGUGAGCCAAUUAAAUCUCUUUUCCUUAUAAAUUGCCAAGCCUCAGGUAUUCAUUUAUAGCAAUGGAAAUGGACCAACAGAGGUAGUCUGCUUUAUAAUGGGUCAGAACGUGAAUCACAUGAGGAUACGAUAGUGCUUGUUAUUCCUGAAUUUUCCACAUCAUACAAUUCACCUUCUGGGCUCCAUAUAGGGGAAGUGAUUCUGGAAAACGUGGUUCCCACUUCAGAAGGAACAGUGGUGUUGGGGACACGUUGACAACAGAAAGUCUAGCACAGUCCACCCCAUUCAAAAAUAAGCAUCUGUAGACAUUUUCAACUUCCAAAUAAAAGCAGCAACAAUACUAUUUUCCACCUAAUGUGAUGCAACUAUUCAUUUUACAACCCAAAGACCUUUAAUCUUCUCUAUGGAAGAGAUAUUUGAAAAUGCUAGUCCGUCUCCCAGAUGACUAACAACCCCUUUUGCUCUUUCAUGCUAUAAAUACCAAGGAUCAACCAAUAUAAACCUAUAUUACAUAGAGGGGUAUGAAGGCACUGAGACAAAAAGCAGAGGACUCAGUUAAUACAGAAACUAUAUUCACAUCAGCUGGGCAUGGUGGCACAUGUCUGUAGAGCUACUCAGAGGGCUGAGGUGGUAGGAUUGCAUGAACCUGGAAAGUGAAGGUUACAGUGAGCCAAGAUCGCACCACUGCACUCCAGUCUACAUGACAGAGCGAGACCUUGUCUGAAAAAAAAUAUAUAUAUAUACACAUCAAAGUGAGGAAGAUUAUAUAAAUAUCUAACUUAGUCCUUGUUUCAGCAGCUGGCCUUGAGGCUAAAGCUGGCAUUUAAAAAUUUCCUCUUUCAAGUUAGACACAGUGGCACAUGCCUGUAAUCCCAGCUACUCAGGUGGCUGAGGUGGGAGGCUCAUUUGAGUUCCGGAGUUCAAGACCAGCCUGGGGAACGUAACAGAACUCCACCUGAAAAAAAAUUUCUUCCACUAUCCAUUCCAUAAUCCCUAUGCUCUCAGCAAACACCUCAACUGGCUGUGAUUUUUUAACCUGGUGAAGUUACUCACGUCUUCAUGAAGUAUACAUUCCCUCAGGAGUCCUUCCUGUAAUGGAUUAUUAUCAUUUUCCCAUGUUUUACAAUGGGACGUGGGAGUUCUAAGAGGCAUCCCACAGAAUGCCUUGUGUGAGUGGUAUAGUUAUACUCUCUUCUGCCGAUUGUGUAGUAACUACCCAAUUCCCCCCUUGAUAAUCAGGACAAUUUGCCACUUUUUACUAUCAGGCUUUACACGAUUUCUUCUACCUUAGACUAUAUAACCAUUCAGUUACAUCCAGGUUAAUGGCUUCCACUUCCAAAGUCCGUAUCUCUGGAGUCAACAGCAAGAACACUUCCUGCCA
rnacentral:lncRNA from 1 species